rnacentral:lncRNA from 11 species
CCAGGAUGACCCCAUCCUCAAGCAAGUUAAGACAUUUAUUUGCCAUCAGGCAUCUGAUGGAGGAUAAGGAGACUACUGCUGGGAGGGUAAGCAUUGUUCUGGCUGAAAAGCCUGAUGGCAACUGAAGCUCUACAGCAUCUAGAGACCUACAGUAAAUACUGAACUACAG